rnacentral:rRNA from 1 species
AUUGAACGCUGGCGGCAGGCCUAACACAUGCAAGUCGAGCGGAUGAAGGGAGCUUGCUCCUGGAUUCAGCGGCGGACGGGUGAGUAAUGCCUAGGAAUCUGCCUGGUAGUGGGGGAUAACGUCCGGAAACGGGCGAUAAUACCGCAUACGUCCUGAGGGAGAAAGUGGGGAUCUUCGGACCUCACGCUAUCAGAUGAGCCUAGGUCGGAUUAGCUAGUUGGUGGGGUAAAGGCCUACCAAGGCGACGAUCCGUAACUGGUCUGAGAGGAUGAUCAGUCACACUGGAACUGAGACACGGUCCAGACUCCUACGGGAGGCAGCAGUGGGGAAUAUUGGACAAUGGGCGAAAGCCUGAUCCAGCCAUGCCGCGUGUGUGAAGAAGGUCUUCGGAUUGUAAAGCACUUUAAGUUGGGAGGAAGGGCAGUAAGUUAAUACCUUGCUGUUUUGACGUUACCAACAGAAUAAGCACCGGCUAACUUCGUG